AAAUUCUUUAUUCAAUAAUGAUACUAAAUUGCAAAUUUGGAGGUGAGUUUU
rnacentral:tRNA from 1 species